rnacentral:rRNA from 1 species
CCUACGGAUGGCAGCAGUGGGGAAUAUUGCACAAUGGGGGGAACCCUGAUGCAGCGACGCCGCGUGGGUGAAGGAGUAUUUCGGUAUGUAAAGCCCUAUCAGCAGGGAAGAACCAUGACGGUACCUGACUAAGAAGCACCGGCUAAAUACGUGCCAGCAGCCGCGGUAAUACGUAUGGUGCAAGCGUUAUCCGGAUUUACUGGGUGUAAAGGGAGCGCAGGCGGCGCGUUAAGCCUGGUGUGAAAGCCCGCGGCCCAACCGCGGGACUGCAUUGGGAACUGGCGCGCUGGAGUGCCGGAGGGGUAGGCGGAAUUCCUAGUGUAGCGGUGAAAUGCGUAGAUAUAUGGAAGAACACCAGUGGCGAAGGCGGCCGCCUGGCCUGUUACUGACGCUGAGGCACGAAAGCGUGGGGAGCAAAUAGGAUUAGAUACCCUGGUAGUC